CUCAGAUUGAACGCUGGCGGCAUGCCUUACACAUGCAAGUCGAACGGUAACAGGUCUUCGGACGCUGACGAGUGGCGAACGGGUGAGUAAUACAUCGGAACGUGCCCAGUCGUGGGGGAUAACUACUCGAAAGAGUAGCUAAUACCGCAUACGAUCUGAGGAUGAAAGCGGGGGACCUUCGGGCCUCGCGCGAUUGGAGCGGCCGAUGGCAGAUUAGGUAGUUGGUGGGAUAAAAGCUUACCAAGCCGACGAUCUGUAGCUGGUCUGAGAGGACGACCAGCCACACUGGGACUGAGACACGGCCCAGACUCCUACGGGAGGCAGCAGUGGGGAAUUUUGGACAAUGGGCGAAAGCCUGAUCCAGCAAUGCCGCGUGCAGGAUGAAGGCCUUCGGGUUGUAAACUGCUUUUGUACGGAACGAAAAAGCUCCUUCUAAUACAGGGGGCCC
rnacentral:rRNA from 1 species